rnacentral:rRNA from 1 species
CUGUCGUACCGUUGGUUGACUUUGGGUAAUGGUUAAUAGGAACGGUUGGGGGCAUUCGUACUCGACUGUCAGAGGUGAAAUUCUUAGAUUUGUCGAUGACGCACGACUGCGAAAGCAUUUGCCAAGGACGCUUCCAUUAAUCAAGAACGAAAGUUAGGGGAUCGAAGACGAUCAGAUACCGUCGUAGUCCUAACCUUAAAC